AAAGAAAGUAAGCAAGGGCGCAUGGCGGAUGCCUUGGCUCUCGGAGGCGAUGAAGGACGUGAUAAGCUGCGAUAAGCUUCGGGCAGGUGCAAAUAACCUUUGAUCCGAAGAUUUCCGAAUGGGACAACCCGUCAUUCUGAAGGAAUGACAUCUUGCAUAGCAAGAGGCUAACGCAGGGAACUGAAACAUCUUAGUACCUGUAGGAAAAGAAAAUAAUAAUGAUUCCCCUAGUAGUGGCGAGCGAACGGGGAUUAGCCCAAACCAAUGUUGUUACGGCAAUAUUGGGGUUGUAGGACCACGAUGUCGCAAGAAAUUUAGUGAGAAGAACCCUUUGGAAAAUGGGACCAUAGACGGUGAUAGUCCGGUAUUCGAAGCUAAAUGAAGCGUAGUGGUAUCCUGAGUAGCGCGGGACACGAGGAAUCUUGCGUGAAUCUGCCGGGACCAUCCGGUAAGGCUAAAUACUCCCGAGAGACCGAUAGCGAACCAGUACUGUGAAGGAAAGGUGAAAAGCACUUCGAAUAGAAGAGUGAAAUAGUCCCUGAAACCGUGCGCCUACAAGCGGUCGGAGCUGCUUCAGCAGUGACGGCGUGCCUUUUGCAUAAUGAACCUACGAGUUACUUUUUCCGGCAAGGUUAAGGAUCUUGAGAUCCGCAGCCGAAGCGAAAGCGAGUCUUAACAGGGCGAUUAGUCGGAAGGAGUAGACGCGAAACCAAGUGAUCUACCCUUGGUCAGGUUGAAGGUUAGGUAACACUAACUGGAGGACCGAACCGAUAAGCGUUGAAAAGCUUCCGGAUGAACUGAGGGUGGGGGUGAAAGGCUAAUCAAACUUGGAGAUAGCUCGUACUCCCCGAAAUGCAUUUAGGUGCAGCCUUGGGAAUUACUACUGUGAGGUAGAGCGACUGAUAAGAUGCGAGGGCUUCACCGCCUAUCAAGUCUUGAUAAACUCCGAAUGCGCAGUAGUUCGAUCCCAGGAGUGAGGGCAUGGGUGCUAAGGUCCAUGUCCUAAAGGAGAAGAAUCCGGACCAUCAGCUAAGGUCCCGAAAUAAUUGCUAAGUUGAACUAACGAAGUCAGAUUGCUAAGACAGCUAGGAUGUUGGCUUGGAAGCAGCCAUUCAUUUAAAGAGUGCGUAACAGCUCACUAGUCGAGGAGUUUGGCGUGGAUAAUAAUCGGGCAUUAAGCAAUUUACCGAAGCUAUGGGAUCCGUAAGGAUCGGUAGGGGAGCAUUCCACUCUGCGUCGAAGGUGAAGCGUGAGCUUUGCUGGAGCGUGUGGAAAAGCAAAUGUAGGUAUAAGUAACGAUAAAGGGGGUGAGAAACCCCCUCGCCGAAAGACUAAGGUUUCCUGAUCAACGCUAAUCGGAUCAGGGUUAGUCGGGUCCUAAGGCUCAGCCGAACGGUGAGGCCGAUGGCAGAACAGGUUAAUAUUCCUGUACUACCUUAAGGAGUGACGUGGAGACGGAGGAGUGACAGCGCCGCGGACUGACGGAAUAGUCCGUUGAAGGGUGUAGAUGUUGAUUAUCCCAGGCAAAUCCGGGAUAAGAGUCGAACCUGAUAGUAUACCAAAUUCUUCGGAAUAAGGUAAUAGUGCGUGUAAGCAUACUCCCAAGAAAAUCCGCUAAACUUAAUCUUUAAGGUACCCGUACCGCAAACGGACACACGUAGUCGGGUUGAAUAUACUAAGGCGCUUGAGUGAUUCACGGUUAAGGAACUAGGCAAAUUGACCCUGUAACUUCGGGAUAAAGGGUCCCAACGAGAGUUGGGCGCAGAGAAUAGGUCCAGGCAACUGUUUAACAAAAACACAGGGCUGUGCCAAAUUGAAAGAUUACGUAUACAGCCUGACACCUGCCCGGUGCUGGAAGGUUAAGAGGAGAUGUCAUCGCAAGAGAAGCAUUGAAUUGAAGCCCCAGUAAACGGCGGCCGUAACUAUAACGGUCCUAAGGUAGCGAAAUUCCUUGUCGGGUAAGUUCCGACCUGCACGAAUGG
rnacentral:rRNA from 1 species